GGAUUAGAUACCCUGGUAGUCCACGCUGUAAACGAUGGAUACUCGGUGUUCGGCCUUCGGGUUGAGUGCCUAAGGGAAACCGAUAAGUAUCCCACCUGGGGAGUACGUCCGCAAGGAUGAAACUCAAAGGAAUUGACGGGGGCCCGCACAAGCGGUGGAGCAUGUGGUUUAAUUCGAUGAUACGCGAGGAACCUUACCUGGGCUAGAAUGCCUCUGCCAUGCCAUGAAAGUGGUUUUUCCUUCGGGACAGAGUGCAAGGUGCUGCAUGGUUGUCGUCAGCUCGUGUUG
rnacentral:rRNA from 1 species